rnacentral:rRNA from 1 species
UACGGGGGGGGCGAGCGUUGUUCGGAAUUAUUGGGCGUAAAGGGCGCGUAGGCGGUGUGGCAAGUCAGGUGUGAAACCUCCAGGCUCAACUUGGAGCUUGCAUCUGAAACUGCCGUGCUAGAGUGUGGGAGAGGAGAGUGGAAUUCCUGGUGUAGCGGUGAAAUGCGUAGAUAUCAGGAGGAACACCGGUGGCGAAGGCGGCUCUCUGGGACGUGACUGGACGCUGAGACGCGAAAGCGUGGGGAGCAAACAGG